UCGACCUGAGGUCAGGCAAG
rnacentral:rRNA from 2 species